rnacentral:rRNA from 1 species
CAGUAGCCGCGGGAAUACGGGGGGGGCAAGUGUUAUUCGGAAUGACUGGGCGUAAAGGGCACGUAGGCGGUGAAAAGGGUGGAAAGUGAAAGUCUCCAAAACACUGGCGGGGUGCUUUCUUGACCAUUUCACUUGAGUGAGAUAGGGGAGAGUGGAAUUUCGUGUGGAGGGAUCAAAUCCUAAGAUAUACGAAGGAACGCCAACCGCGAAGGCAGCUCUCUGGGUCCCCACUGACGCUGGGGUGCGAAAGCAUGGGGAGCAAACAGGAUCAGAUACCCCGGUAGUCCCUGUCUCUUAUACA